CAGCCCCGCACCGGACACCGACCGGCCGUGCCGGGAUGCCUGCGCCCACGACAGCGACUGCCCCGGCAGUGCCAAGUGCUGCCCCCUCGCCUGCGGGCUCGCCUGCCUGCCCCCUUCGCACGAGGACGCCAGCCCUGCCCCGGCCACUCCGCAGCCGCUCCACCAGUGGAGGUGCCAUCAGGACCAGGACUGUCCCCCGCCUGAGGUGUGCUGUCACCAGCGGUGCAGCGCGGAGUGUCACACACAUGGACGAGGGGUCCCCACGGCCGACCCAGCCUGGCAGGAGGGGACAAAUUGCUGGAGCGACGGCGACUGCGGCGAUGGGGAGACGUGCUGCGGCGGCCGGUGCGCGGGGUUGUGCAGCGCUGAACACCAAGGGAAGGCCGGCUUCUGCCCGGCCCACGCCGGGCUGUUCCCC
rnacentral:lncRNA from 1 species